rnacentral:rRNA from 1 species
UACGAAGGGGGGCUAGCGUUGUUCGGAAUACUGGGCGUAAAGCGCGCGCAGGCGGUCUUCCAAGUCAGUGGUGAAAGCCCCGGAGCUCAACUCCGGAACUGCCAUUGAAACUGUUAGACUUGAGGAUGAGAGAGGUGAGUGGAAUUCCCAGUGUAGAGGUGAAAUUCGUAGAUAUUGGGAAGAACACCGGUGGCGAAGGCGGCUCACUGGCUCAUUACUGACGCUCAGGCGCGAUAGCGUGGGGAUCAAACAGG